rnacentral:tRNA from 1 species
UGGUGUAACUGUAGCACACUCGACGCGUAUUCGAGAGGUCCAGGUUCGAAUCCUGG